GUGGGGAAUAUUCCGCAAUGGACGAAAGUCUGACGGAGCAACGCCGCGUGAGUGAUGAAGGUUUUCGGACUGUAAAGCUCUGUUGUUUAGGACGAAAGUGCCUGUUGCGAAUAGUUACAGGUAUUGACGGUACUGAACGAGGAAGCCACGGCUAACUACGUGCCAGCAGCCGCGGUAAUACGUAGGUGGCAAGCGUUGUCCGGAAUUAUUGGGCGUAAAGAGCAUGUAGGCGGGUAUCUAAGUCUGUUGUGAAAAUGCGGGGCUCAACCCCGUAUUGCGAUGGAAACUGGGUUUCUUGAGUGCAGGAGAGGAAAGGGGAAUUCCCAGUGUAGCGGUGAAAUGCGUAGAUAUUGGGAGGAACACCAGUGGCGAAGGCGCCUUUCUGGACUGUGUCUGACGCUGAGAUGCGAAAGCCAGGGUAGCGAACGGGAUUAGAUACCCCGGUAGUCC
rnacentral:rRNA from 1 species